GAAAUUGUGGUCUCUAGGAAGAGCGAGGUUGAGUUACAGCCCUGAGGAGGGUGGUUGCAGAUGAGGAAACUGAGGCACAGCGAGUUUAAAUACCUUUCUCAAAGUGAUGGGGCUUUGGUCUGAAGUCUUGCUGUAAAGGCCAUGUUCUUAACCAGUAGGCAUUGUCUGUGACAACUCUCCAUGUAUUCCAACAGGAUGGGGAUUUGGAUCAGAACAGGGGGCUGCUGGCUGCAUGUGAGAAAAUUCCUCACCUCUGACCAACUUCAGAAUUGUUCAUCAGUGUGGACACUGUCAUUAGAUUUAGGGUCACCCUAACACAGAUGACCUCAUCUCCAGAUCCUCAACUAUAUCUGAAAAGACUCUUUCCCAGGAGAUGACCAAGGCCCCAUAUGGACGGGGGCAAACAGCAGCCAUGUGAAUGGGGGUCUGGGGAGAAUGAGGACCCUAGAAGCACCAGGAAAAGAUCCAGGCCUGGCUUCAUCAGGAGCAGGAGGCCCUGAGAAUCAACAUGUGCUGCCCUGAAGACUAACCAGGAGGAUUUGGGAGGGGCCGCUAGAAGGAAGGAGAUGACCAGCCUCCCAGGAUCCUUGGUGCCGGAGUCCAUCUUGGCUGAGAGCUCAUGGAGUUCCUGGGCCAGGGAUCAGAUUUGAGCCGCAUUUGUGACCUAUGCCACAGCUGCAGCAACGCUGGAUUCUUAACCCACUGGGCCAGGCCGGGGAUUCAACUUGUGUCCCAGUCCUGCAGAGAUGCUGCUGAUCCCGUUGUGCCAUAGCGGGGACUCCACUCUCCUUUCUUUUUUUCUGCCCUGAGUGCAGGAGUCUGGUUGAUGGCCUCAGUUAUCUGGGGGCUGGAGGCUGAUCACCUCUGGUAGGCAGAGAACUGGAAUUCUACAUUCUGGUUUUGAUAGGGUUGGAGUACAAUAGUUACACAGGUAGUUGUAGAAGUCCCAGUAAGAGACCAUAAGUAAAGAGGGAAACCUAGGGGACUUUGGGAGAUCACUGUAAUUUAAUAACUGCUCAAGAGGGCCCUCAGAACAAGGCAGGCUUGCUAGACUAGUGGAGGCAAGAGAUAUGCCUUAGUCAUUGGAUGGGGGAUGGGGUGAGGCCUGCAUUCAAGUUCAGACCAAAGGCAGGAGUUUAAGGACCACCUUUCUGCUGAUUUCAAUAAGCACCAGGACAGUCCUAGUCUGACCUUAGAGGGUCAAAUACUCUCUUACCAGAUACCAAGAAGGAGCUACUAUUUCAAGAAAGAGGAAGAGGCGGGUUCCCCCCCAAUACACACACACUUGCGUCUUGGAUUAUGAGACUGCAGCCCACCUGAUCCUCAGGGCAGAGCCUCUUUGCCUAAUCUAUUUCUUGCUUUGUUUCUUACUGAAUUCCUUCUGCACUGAGGCACAGAGAACCUGGGCCUCAGUGAGUCCAGACACUGGGUGAGUGGCUCUAAUUUGAAAACUGUGGGUUCAGUCCCAAUCUGGGUUUAAGCUGGGUUUGAGUCCUGGCACCUGGGUUCACGUCCCAAGCUGGGUUUUGGCUGUACUCAAGUCAUAAGUGCUCUCAAUUUCAGUUUCUGGUUUGGCUGAGUUGCUGUCGCCCUUUCUGAAGCUCAGGGAAAAGUCCCAUAAUGCCUGGGUAUCUGCAGGUGGUGGGAGAUGUCUAUCAGGCCACCCCUUUUGCCCCUCAUCCCCUUCUUUUUUUUUUUUUUCUUUUGUCUUUUCUAGGGCCACUCCCACAGCAUAUGGAGGUUCCCAGGCUAGGGGUCUAGUUGGAGCUGAAGCUACCAGCCUACACCACAGCCACACCAGAUCCGAGCCGCGUCUGUGACCUACACCACAACUCACGGCAACGCCAGAUUCUUAACCCACUGAGCAAGGCCAGGGAUAGAACCUGCAACCUUAUGGUUCCUAGUCGGAUUCGUUAACCACUGAGCCAUGACGGGAACUCCCCGCAUCCCCUUCUCUUAAUCCAGUCUCCUUUCCUCCCUCUGAAGUCUUUUUUUUUUUUUUUUUUUUUUUUUUUUUUUUUUUUUUNNNNNNNNNNNNNNNNNNNNNNNNNNNNNNNNNNNNNNNNNNNNNNNNNNNNNNNNNNNNNNNNNNNNNNNNNNNNNNNNNNNNNNNNNNNNNNNNNNNNNNNNNNNNNNNNNNNNNNNNNNNNNNNGACCUACACCACAACUCACGGCAACACCGGAUUCUUAACCCACUGAGCAAGGCCAGGGAUAGAACCUGCAACCUUAUGGUUCCUAGUUGGAUUCGUUAACCACUGCGCCACGACGGGAACUCCCCUCUGAAAUCUUUGACGACCCAAGAUACUUCCAUUUACCAUUUGUUGGUACUGAAACCAAGCAGGGCCCUGUGGGGUUCCUGGGAACAAGACUUUCUGUGUCCCCAAUUUCUUGUUUUUAGGGAAAAACUCAGCCUCCAAGAUCGUCACUGAGUUCCAAAGGGCAGGUUCAAAUAGCUGCUAAUCAGAGAAGGGAAGGGAUGAGGGAGGAAUAACCAAGAAACAAGAGUGCAGCCUUGGGGCUGGAUCCUGGUUCCUCUUCAAGGAAUAUACAUAACAAUAUCUGAGUUCUUUUGCAGAGCUAAACCCCCAACAAAUGGAAAACUGGAGAGGAGGACCACCAGCACCAGUCCUGGGGCUGCCGAACACCAACUUUGAAGAAGAAUGCAAGCUUGCAUCUACCCUGAUCCUUACCUGUGGCCCUAUUUUCUACUGCCACACUGUGUAAAAUCCCUUCCUGAUCUCUCCCAAGGUGGGGCACAGUCUUUAGGGCAUUAGCCUGCUGUGGCCUCCUUUGCUUGGCAAAGCAAUAAAGCUAUUUUUUUUCUCUU
rnacentral:lncRNA from 1 species